UACGGAGGGAGCUAGCGUUGUUCGGAAUUACUGGGCGUAAAGCGCACGUAGGCGGCUAUUCAAGUCAGGGGUGAAAUCCCGGGGCUCAACCCCGGAACUGCCUUUGAAACUGGAUGGCUAGAAUCUUGGAGAGGCGAGUGGAAUUCCGAGUGUAGAGGUGAAAUUCGUAGAUAUUCGGAAGAACACCAGUGGCGAAGGCGACUCGCUGGACAAGUAUUGACGCUGAGGUGCGAAAGCGUGGGGAGCAAACAGG
rnacentral:rRNA from 1 species